GAUGAACGCUGGCGGCGUGCCUAAUACAUGCAAGUCGAGCGAACAGACGAGGAGCUUGCUCCUCUGACGUUAGCGGCGGACGGGUGAGUAACACGUGGAUAACCUACCUAUAAGACUGGGAUAACUUCGGGAAACCGGAGCUAAUACCGGAUAAUAUAUUGAACCGCAUGGUUCAAUAGUGAAAGACGGUUUUGCUGUCACUUAUAGAUGGAUCCGCGCCGCAUUAGCUAGUUGGUAAGGUAACGGCUUACCAAGGCAACGAUGCGUAGCCGACCUGAGAGGGUGAUCGGCCGCACUGGAACUGAGACACGGUCCAGACUCCUACGGGAGGCAGCAGUAGGGAAUCUUCCGCAAUGGGCGAAAGCCUGACGGAGCGACGCCGCGUGAGUUAUGAAGGUCUUCGGAUCGUAAAACUCUGUUAUUAGGGAUGAACAAAUGUGUAAGUAACUAUGCACGUCUUGACGGUACCUAAUCAGAAAGCCACGGCUAACUACGUG
rnacentral:rRNA from 1 species